rnacentral:rRNA from 1 species
CCUACGGGGGGCAGCAGUGGGGAAUAUUGGACAAUGGGCGAAAGCCUGAUCCAGCCAUGCCGCGUGUGUGAAGAAGGCCUUCGGGUUGUAAAGCACUUUCAGUGGGGAAGAAAGCCUUGGGGCUAAUACCCUCGAGGAAGGACAUCACCCACAGAAGAAGCACCGGCUAACUCCGUGCCAGCAGCCGCGGUAAUACGGAGGGUGCGAGCGUUAAUCGGAAUUACUGGGCGUAAAGCGCGCGUAGGCGGUCUGAUAAGCCGGUUGUGAAAGCCCCGGGCUCAACCUGGGAACGGCAUCCGGAACUGUCAGGCUAGAGUGCAGGAGAGGAAGGUAGAAUUCCCGGUGUAGCGGUGAAAUGCGUAGAGAUCGGGAGGAAUACCAGUGGCGAAGGCGGCCUUCUGGACUGACACUGACGCUGAGGUCCGAAAGCGUGGGUAGCAAACAGGAUUAGAUACCCGAGUAGUC